GCCUGUAUAGCUCAAUUGGUAGAGCAUCCGCCUUGUAAGCGGAAGGUUACGGGUUCGAGUCCCGUUGCAGGCU
rnacentral:tRNA from 1 species